rnacentral:rRNA from 1 species
GAGGGAUAUUGGUCAAUGGGCGCAAGCCUGAACCAGCGACGCCGCGUGGGUGAAGAAGGUCUUCGGAUCGUAAAGCCCUUUUCCCACUGAAGAGGAAGGACGGUAGGUGGGGAAGAAGUCUCGGCUAACUACGUGCCAGCAGCCGCGGUAAAACGUAGGAGACAAGCGUUAUUCGGAGUUACUGGGCGUAAAGGGCGUGCAGGUGGCGUCUUAAGUCUGUUGUGAAAGCGCCUGGCUUAACCGGGCGAGGCCAAUGGAGACUGAGAGGCUGGAGGACGGCGGAGGGGUGUGGAAUUCCGGGUGUAGUGGUGAAAUGCGUAGAGAUCCGGAGGAACACCAGAGUCGAAGGCGGCACUCUAAGCCGUACCUGACACUGAGACGCGACAGCACGGGGAGCAAACG